AUGAAUUAAGAGUUUAGUAGAUCCUCUUUAGUAGAAAGACGUAUAUUCCUUGCUCAUUAUCAGACAAUCGCUUAUUCCCAAACCUCGUGUGGGAUUAAUAGUUUUCAUUUACCAUCUCAUGAUUGA
rnacentral:rRNA from 1 species